rnacentral:misc_RNA from 1 species
GGCAAAUAACUCGAUUCUGAAUUUCAUUUUCGGAGCAACUUACAUGACCAUGCAUUGUAUAAUUUGGCUGGCUUAGUUGCAGAGGAGGUAACUUAUCAGCACAAAAGUAGCAUGGCCUAUUAAACAUGGCACUAAUUUUCCUUACAAUCCAUUAAGAAACUCAGUUUGGUAAUUUAACUCACUCCCCAGUUAAAAAAGUGUACAUAGAGGAAAUAAAUUACCCACCAAACUUCAAUUUCAGAGGACUAUUGGUACAAAAAGUGCAAGUCAUAUAAUG